GCGCUCGCUUUGGCAGCACGUAUACUAAAAUUGGAAUGAUACAGAAAAGAUUAGCAUGGCCCCUGCACAAGGAUGACAUACAAAUCUGUGAAGCCUUCCAUAUUUUC
rnacentral:snRNA from 1 species